AAGGUCCUUGAUGUGUGUAAAAUGCACUUGUUUUAUCCCUACUUUUAAUUAAUAAAUUUAUCACACAAAGGCAGUGAACCUGUCUUUUAGUGGUAUAGAUUAGUAAGUAAUGUGUCAAACUCAGGGAACAGGAAAUUAAACUACUAACUAAUUUUAACUAAAACAACUAAUAAAAGUAAAAGGGGUUUCUUCUAGUUUUGCAAGACUAGAAACUUAGGCACACUAAAUUAACUAAAUAACUAAAGCAACAACUAUUCACCAAGUUUGAUAAAGAUGUUUCUAUUUAGGUUCAACCAAUUCACUCCUAUGGUUAUUUGUAUUUAUGAUAGAUUAAUUGCUAUUGGUUACCAAUUAUAAUGGUUAGGUUCAUGUUCAUUACUCCUAACCCUUAGACAAUUAACUAAUUUAAGCGGUGAUCAAGUGUUUAAACUAAUUAAUUCCCUAGAUUAAUGGUUUGGAUUAAAUAAGAUUUGUAAUGGUUAAUUAAGUUAUUAAUUCAAUUAACCUCUUGUUUGAUGGUUUCUCAAACAAGCUCACACAUUAAUCUUCCUAUUGUCUUAUUAAUCUUAGUUUCAUAAUCAUUACUUCUAAGCAUAUGGUUUAGUGUUCACAUAGACAUAUGAGGUUAACAACUAAGAGAUGUUCAUGCAGCCUAAUUGUCUUCCAAUUAACAGAAAAUAGUAGUGAUUAAUGCAUAAGGUUCUUUAACAAACUUAAUUUAAUAAAUCACCAAUAAACAAUCAAACAAAAACUAAUAAUUAAACCAUAGGAGUUCCUUGGUAUUCCCCAAACAGAAACAAAACGAAUUUAGUUCAUAGUUGCAGUAGAAACAAACAUAGAAACAAGGUUUUCUAGAUCAAACAUAUUCAAUUCUUAAAUCUAAGUGGUAGGAUUAACCUAAUUGCUUGAAUUCUUCAAAAGAUUGAAGCUUAGGGUUCCUCAGCGUCUUCUAGGGCUCUUAAUUGCAGCUUGACCUUCAAAAAUCGCCAGAAGUGUUGUCCUAUUCGAUAAAGAUUCGGUUUUUAUAGAUAUCUCAAAACAGGGUGUACUCGGCGAGUAGCAGGACCAACUUGCCGAGUAGGUGCAUAGUUAUCCGUCUUGAAUAAGGAAUCGUAGCUAUCUUCUGGAACAUCCUCGUGUACUCACCGAGUAGAGUCGUCUACUCGCCGAGUACAUGGUCUUUUGUCUCUUAUUUUCUUUCUUUGAUCUUCAAUUGCUUCUCCUUGCUUCCUUUUACUUCCAAGCAUAUCUUCUGGACUGAAAACAAAAUUCAAAACAUUUUAAGUACCUUUUGUCCACAUUAUUCACAUAAUUAAUUAAAAAUGAUUAAGAAUAUGUACUAAAUAAUUAACUAAUUAUGCACAUAUCAAAAUACCCCACACUUGACUUUUGCUUGCCCCCAAGCAAAACUAAAAUUUAAGCAUAUUAGAAUCACAUAUAAUAACUCCAAUCUAACCCAGCCAUUAUGCCAAGACCGCAACGCAUGCAUUUGUGUCUAAAAUUUUUCCUAAAAACCUCCCAUACUCCAAAUACUCACAAUCCUCAUAAACAUUUGCCCACUCACCCCGAACUAUGCUCAUUUUAUGCAACCCUCCGAAUCCAUCCGCAGAAAACCUCUUUACCCUCAAGGUAUUUUUAAUUGAGCAACCCAAGCAUACAUAAUCUAGAAUUACAACUUUUUCAUACCACUAUGGAGCUUUCUUUUGAAUUCAUCUCUUCUUUGAUAUUUGACCUUUGAUUUCUUUGAAUUCACCACUUUGUAUUGAUAGAUUUUUGGUAUCUUCAACUUUUUGGAUUUCUUGGAAUUUUGAUCUGUAGAUCUUCACUUUAUUUGCUCCAAAAUUCUUACAACCUUUCUAGUAAUUCUCUCUUUUUUUUACAUGUAUUCCUCACUUUUUUCACUCAAAUCCCUACAUGCUUAAGCAGGGGNUUUUUUCACUCAAAUCCCUACAUGCUUAAGCAGGGGCGCUCAAUCUCAACCUUUAUUGGCUAAUGAUAACAAUUUUCCUAGAUACAUUUCAGGUUUAGGCUGCUAAACAUAUUGCAUCCCUCAGGCUGAGCGAGGUCGUGUUUUUGUCCCAUGAUUUCACUGGAAUAAGGAGGCCACAAAUGUACUAGAACGUAUAUAGGCUCAACUAAACAUUUGGGUUUUCAUGCAGUCAUCAACACAAUUCUAAUAUGGAAUCCUAAUUUGUUUUUACCAAAAUUUUCUAAUUUAAAUCCCUAAGUAUAUUUUUUUUUUUAAAAUUAUCCUAAAUUAAGAUUCUAAAUUUUCUAAUAUGUGACUAACCCCCUACCCCACACUUAUUUUAUGCAAUGCCCUCAUUGCAUAUUAUGCAAAAUAAAAAUGCAAAUAUAGAGAGAAUUGGAACAAACUCCCCUGGGGUAGCAGUCGAUAGGUUGCCACUCUCCUCUUCAGCUCCUUCUUCAAUUGACUCUAGCCAUGGGAACAACUCAUCCAUGGCACGGGUGUCAUGCGUCUCGUGUGGUUGACAGCUCGAAAAUUCCACGGAACAAGGUCGUUAGAAAGUCUCCAGUAGUAAUCCAUCACAAAGAGUGUAUGAAUGUUGCAGUGAAAGUGGUCAAAACAAUUCUGAAAUUCCAAAAGUAGCAGGCUACUCGGCGAGUAGGCCUUGAUGCAAAAUAAGAUCGUGUAAUAUCGCAUGUACUCGCCGAGUAGAGUUUGUGCACUCGGCGAGUAGUGACUGUUUUUCCAAAAUUGUUCUAGUCGCUGCUUCUCUCGACUUUGGUGUUGAAAUCGGAAAUGUAAAUUGACCCUCACUCGAAUUCCUUCAGCAUCAACACUCUCUAUGACCCUCGACCCUUACGGACUCAAUCCUAAGGACAAGACUCCAUAAUUGCUUAAAAAUCUUUCAUUCCUUUCUUAACCCUCACUAGUUAGUAUGUUUCCCUAUCUUCAAUCCCUGAAAAAAACUAACAGUGACACUAAUAAUCCAACCACCAUAAAACAAAAUCCAAAGUGUUUAACAAUUGUCUUAGAACAAAACAUCAUAAGCAUAAAAAAAACAAAACAAAUUCUUCAAUCUUCAUCAUCCAUUCCAGCUCCUCCUGCUCCACUUCCUCCCUCUCCAUCUCUUCUUCGCAUCCUCUCAUCCCAAUUCAUGAUAUAGGGAUAGCCGGGUCCAGGUCUCGGGGCAAUUUGCAUUUGUUGAAAGAGGUACUCGAAAGAUUGAUUAGUGUAGUUUACCCCUCGCCCAAUAUCAUCCAAGUAGCGUCGGUACUCUACUUGGUUCCAACCAUCAUUAUCCUCCACCGGAAUAACCGGUGGAUCCUCCCGCACCCGUUUGCUCCUUUGUCGGACCCGCCUUCCCGGCUCCUCGGGGACCGCCGGCUCAUCUUCAUGUGGAAUAGUGAAGGAAUCACCAAACUUUUCAACUAUCCGUGCCCUCCUAUAAAGUGCAGUGUUGAAUGGUGGAGGUUGGAGAACCGUUAGUGCUUGAGCUUGUGGCAAAUCCAAGAUCCCAAAUGACUUGGCAAGUCGAGUAAUAAACAUGCCUCCAUUUAUCUUUGAAUUUAUCUUCUCUUUGACUGCCCCCUCAGCAAGAAAUUUGGCAAUGCAGUAAGGAAGGUUGCAAAAAACGUCUGGAGUGAUGAUGCUCCACAAGUAGAAGAUGUCAAGGGUGGGGACUUUGUCCCCAUCCUUUCGCAUGUUUAUCGUACUAGCCACAAACCGGUGAAUGAGUCGGUGGAUCGGAGAACGAAUGUGACCUUCUUGUGCGGUGGAGGGAAUGUAGACUCGGUUAGCAAUUGUGUUCCACCAUGUAGACGCCACUACCUCCUCGGGAAGUUCUUUGCAACAAUUUUCCAAGAAGGCUUCAAAAUAGUCUGUCAUCACCAUGUCUUGGUCAUAAACACCCAACCUCCAUGAGAACUCCACCAUGCUGCAUUGUCACAGCUCCCCGCCCAAAGAGAAAGAGAUUGUGUUAGGAUUAUAGAACUCACUACCACCUCGAAAUGAGAUGGUAGCAAAGAAUUCCCAGCACAACUCAGUGUAAAUCGGCUCUUGGAUUUUAAAUAACUACAACUAACCAUCACAAGUGAUGUUGGCAUAUCCCAAAUUGCAAUCCUUUACCAAGUACGGGGUGAGUUCUUCUUCCAAACUAACAUUUCCCAUCCAUCCCCAAUCCACUACAUUUGGAAGGUGAAUUUCCUUCUGCCUAAGUGCCUCCAGUCUGUUUAGAGCUCUUGUUUUUGAUGUUUUGGACGUAAUUUGUUGAAAAGAUAGCCAUGGCAUAUCACCAUGGCUUCCCCCUCGCGAAGAUUGACCCCUUCUUGCCAUGCUACCUGUAUACACAUAUCAAGAACACAGCAACAAACAACAACCAGUAAUUAAAAACAAAAAAUAUUGGGUCUGAGUGUGACCUACUCGCCGAGUACAUGACUCUACUCGGCGAGUAGUAUGAACACCAUGACAGAUCGAGUGUCGGAUCUGUGUAAACUGUCCAAAAGUCGAAAUUUUUCAUAGGGUUUUGUUGUAAUUACUUAUCUAACCAUAGAUCUUGAAGAAAAUACUCCUAACAAUAUCUAAUUCGUGAUUAAAUCAAAACCCUAGAAGUUGAGGAAAACUCCCCAAAUCCGAAAUUACUUCAAAUCUGGACAAAUCUGUGAUAAAAAUCAAACCUUUCAUGAAUUUAAAGGGUAAAGAUGUUACCUUUUUGCUUGAAUAGUGAGAAUUGAGUAGAAAAUUGAAUAAAUCUUGAAAGCAACUUGAAAGAUGACUGAGAGGAUAGUGCAUGGCGAGUAAUGGGAUGAAAUGGUGAAAAAAAGAAAAUUUACAGAUUAUAUUUCACUUGUUUUAAACUGGCUACUCGCCGAGUAGAAUGGGUCUACUCGCCGAGUAGAAGCGCUUUCGAAUAACAUCUGACUGAACCGAGCAUCUACUCACCGAGUACAUGACUCUACUCGGCGAGUAGUAUGUCACAGAUUGAAAAUUUUUGUGUAUUUAGAAAAACUAGUGUAUUAAUUCAUGUUUUUACACCAUCCACCCCACACUCUAAUCAUGGCUUGUUCUCAAGAAGUUAUUGGCAUAAAAGUAGAUGAAGAAGAAUGAAAAAAAUGUGAAAAUAAAGAAAAGGAAAGAAAAUGCAAACUUGAGACUCGGGUUGCCUCCCGAGAAGCGCUUCUUUUUAUGGAGUCGUUAGCUGGACUCCUCCCCUUCUACGUAGUUGCAAUUCCGCCCAGCAGCAACUCUUCCAAUCCUUCAUUCCGGGGGACUCCUUCUUCAUAGUUUUUUACUCUAUAACCAUUGACUUUGAAAGGCGUGUCGUCUCUUGAUAACAACUCUAUAGCCCCAUGUGGAAACACCGUCUUGACCAGAAAAGGACCAUCCCACCUUGAUUUGAGUUUGCCCGAGAAAAGUUUUAAUUGUGAAUUGAAAAGCAACACUUUUUGGCCUUCAUGGAUUUCUUUAUUCUUGAUCCUUUUAUCAUGCCAUUUCUUGGUCUUUUCUUUAUAAAGCCAAGAACUAGAGUAUGCAUCAAUCCUUAGCUAUUCAAGGGCAUUCAUUUGCAUCAAACGGUUGCUCUUUAGUUCUUCCAUGUCGAAGUUGCACCUUUUUAAAGCCCAAUACGCCUUGUGCUCGAUUUCGACCGGUAAAUGGCAUUGCUUUCCAUAAACUAACCUAUAUGGUGUAGUACCAAUAGGUGUUUUGAAAGCUAUACGAAAGGCCCAUAAUGCAUCAUCUAGUUUAUCCGACCAUUCCUUGCGGUUGCUUCCCACCGAUUUUUCUAAAAUUCGCUUCAAGGCUCGAUUGGUCACUUCAGUUUGUCCACUAGUUUGUGGAUGAUAUGAUGUGGAGAACUUAUGGGUAACCCCAUAUUUCUUUAGCACUUUUUCCAAUUGAUCAUUGGCAAAAUGUGUGCCUCGGUCACUAAUAAGGGUUUUUCGGGCCUCCAAAUCGUGAAAAUAGUUUCUUUAAAAAUCCUACUACCACCCGUCCGUCAUUUGUUGGUAAUGCUUGUGCUUCCGCCCACUUAGAUACAUAAUCGACCCCUUUGGACAUGGGAAAAGGUCCCAUGAAGUCAAUGCCCCACACAUCAAACACCUCGCACACUUGGAUACUAUGUUGUGGCAUUUAAUUCGAGAUGAAAUAUUUCCCACUCUUUGACAAGCAUCACAUUCUUNNNNNNNNNNNNNNNNNNNNNNNNNNNNNNNNNNNNNNNNNNNNNNNNNNNNNNNNNNNNNNNNNNNNNNNNNNNNNNNNNNNNNNNNNNNNNNNNNNNNGGUCAGGUCAGAGGCUAUAAUUACUGGCUUUUGGUUGCCUUCUUCUAGAAAAGCAUACUCCAAAUGAUCUGGUAAGGUUUUCAGCUCCGAUUUUUGGCUCUGCCUGUUGGACUCGCCGAGUGCAGGUAGGGUACUCGGCGAAUUUGUGGCUGCAUUCACGAAUUCUAACUUUUCUUCAGAUAUACUCGGCGAGUAGAUCGGCCCUACUCGGCGAGUAGGGCUGUCAGAUUGCUUCAUUAGUUCUUCAUACUCCGCUUCUUCCAACAGUCUUUCAAUUUCUAGUAAAUCUUUUUCUGGAUCAAAUGCUUCAUCUAAAGCUGCAAACUUGCUGGAAUCUUUAGGUAUGUCUUCCUCCGAUAGUUCAUCAAGCAUGUCGAUUGAGAAUGCCGUGUCGUCACUGCUCCUAGAAUGCUUCAUAGCUUGGUCCACCCCGAAUGUUACUGAAUCGUCCCCGAACCGCAAGGUGAGCUUUGAGUCUCUUAUGUCUACUAUAGCGCUGGCCGUGUUGAGGAAGGGCCUUCCAAGGAUGAUUGGUACUUGUGGAUCCGCCUCCAUGUCUAGAAUGAUGAAAUCAGCAGGAAAAACAAAUUUAUCCACCUUGACUAGUANGGUGACUGUUUUGUUUGCCAAGUGUAUUGCCAUGCGAAUUGGCCUUGGUUCCGGGAGAUCGAGCUUCUUAAAGAACGAAUAUGGCAUUAGAUUCACACCUUCUCCCGAAUCGGCUAAGGCAUAAAUGAUGGUCAAGUUGCCAAAUUGGCAAGGUAAGGUCAAGCUCCCUGGGUCGCCAUUCUUCUUAGGUAGCCUAUUUAGCAUAGCAGCUGAGCAGUUUUCAUUGAGUACCACCUUCUUCACUUCUUCCAUCUUCUUUCUAUUUGUGAGAAGUUCCUUAAGGAACUUUGCAUAUUUGGGCAUUUGCAUGACGGCUUCAAUGAAUGGUAUGUUGAUUUGAAGAGUUUUGAUGUGAUCUAGAAACUUCUGAUACUCCUCUUCCUGCUUCUCCUUCUUAGCUCGGGUUGGAUAUGGCACGGGAGGCUGAUAAAGUUUUUCAGGAACCUGUGCGGUGGGUUUUUGAGAUGUACUCGCCGAGUCCAUACGUGGUACUCGGCGAGUAGGACUAUCAGAGUGCAAUUCUUGGUUUUCUGCUUGCUUUUCUGGUUCCUCCUUCUGUGAUUUCUUGGAUGACUCAGUCUGAAUAGGUGCCAGGGGAGUGAUUAUCUUCCCACUUCUUGUUGUGACAAUGUUUAUUUGCGCGCCUCGUGGGUUAUUUUCAGUUUUGCUAGGAAGUUCGCCCGGUGAUCUUUGGUUGAUUUGUUGAGCAAGUUGCCCAAGCUGUGUCUCUAUAUUGUGAAUAGAUGCUUGCUGGUUCCUUAGCAUGGUCCUUGUUUCUUGAAUUGCAGCAUCAUGGUCACUGUGUCUUUUUUCUGAAGCAGCUACAAAUUUUGUGAGCAUUUCUUCCAAGCUUGGCUUCUUUUCUUGCACCGGCUCCUCCUUUUGGUAUAACCCUCUCCCUUUUUGCCUAAACCUUUCCUCCUUGGCUUUCUUGUACUCUUCAUAAGGGAGCCAAUCUUUCUUUUGUUUUCGCCAGUCUUCAUCAUAUCGGUCUCCACUUGAGUAACACACUUGCGCCUUCUUGUUGCCAUUUUCAUCUAAAUCACAAUCUCUAGUGAGGUGAGGCCCAUUGCAGUUUUCACAACCCACCCGAAUAGCAUGGAUUGUUUGAUCCAUCUUAUCCAUCCUCCUAUCCAUGGUUUUUAGCAUAGCCAUGACCGCGGAUAAGUCUUCAGUAGCUGCAUAGGCAGCUCCCCUAGUGACAUCAUGCCUAGGGUUGUGGUAUUCUCUAGAGUGUUUAGAGAAUUCUUCAAUCAAUUCUUUGAUCACCGGGGGUGGCUUCUUUGUGAGCGGGCCUUGCGAGUCUAGUAACUGCCUGGUUGUGACAUUGACUCCAUCAUAGAAGAUGGAUACUUCUUGCUGGCUGUUUAGGUCAUGGUGUGGGCAGUUUCUUAGUAAGCUCUUGUACCUCUCCCAUGCUUCAUAUAGCGACUCUCCAGCUUGUUGUUCAAAGUUAGCAAUGGCCUUCUUCAACUUGGCUAUCUUGGAAGGUGGGCAAAAGUGAUCAAUGAAUUCUUCUUUCAUCUUGGCCCAAGUGGUGACUGAUCCGGGGGGAAGUGACUUGAGCCAGUCUUUUGCAGCACCUUUGAAUGUCACCGGAAGCAUACGAAGUAGCUGAGUCUCGCGGGGCACAUUUGGAACAUUGAAGUAAUCAGCUACAUCAUUGACUUCAUCCAAAUGUUUGUAGGCAUCUUCAUGGUCUUUUCCAUAAAAAGGUAUUUCCUUAAGUAAAGCUAGGAUAUGACCCUUUAGCUCGAAGGUAGCAGUCGCGGGAAUUGCGGGUUGCACAAGUCCCGGGCCAGUGUCGUCUCGCAUCCUCUUCUUCCAUUCUCCCAUGGGGAUUUCAUCAAUGUUAGCCAUUGUGACAACUAACUCUUCCUCGGAUUCGGUUUCGUGCUCGUAUUUCGGGUCCUCUUCUUCUUCGGUCUCGUACUUGAUAUCUUCCUUAGCCGGUUCGUCGAUUACUAAGGAAGCGCUGGAUGCUCCUGAUUUGCUGCUCUUCUUUUUCCCAAAAACAAUCUUCAAAUUGGACAAGGGUGAUUUCUUUGGUGUACUUGAACUAUCCACGUCCUUUCCCUUGUUUCUUUUCAAUGCGGUUUCGGGAUCUUCAAACGGGGGUACCAGCGGGGUGUUUGAUCCUCUGGUCAUGAAAGUCCUGAAAUAAACAGAAUAAAAGCGUAAAAAGAACAAAAAAAUGUANGUUUGAUCCUCUGGUCAUGAAAGUCCUGAAAUAAACAUAAUAAAAGCGUAAAAAGAACAAAAAAAAUGUACUAAAAAAAUUAAAAUUUACUGCUAAAUAAACUGCUACUCGCCGAGUAGGUGCGAUUGCACUCGGCGAGUAUCAGUGAUAUUUUGAAAAAAUUCUAAAUUUAAUACUAAACUAAAACAGAUGCUAAAACCUAAUUACUAAUUACUAAAUUGCAAUAAAUGAACUCUAUGCAAGUAAACUCACACAAAGGAUCGAAAAAAUUAGGAAUUAGAUUAAUUAUUUAGAACCGUUCCCCGGCAACGGCGCCAAAAACUUGAUGUGUGUAAAAUGCACUUGUUUUAUCCCUACUUUUAAUUAAUAAAUUUAACACACAAAGGCAGUGAACCUGUCUUUUAGUGGUAUAGAUUAGUAAGUAAGGUGUCGAACUCAGGGAACGGGAAAUUAAACUACUAACUAAUUUUAACUAAAACAACUAAUAAAAGUAAAAGGGGUUUCUUCUAGUUUUGCAAGAUUAAAACUUAGGCACACUAAAUUAACUAAAUAACUAAAGACACAACUAUUCACCAAGUUUGAUAAAGAUGUUUCUAUUUAGGUUCAACCAAUUCACUCCUAUGGUUAUUUGUAUUUAUGAUAGAUUAAUUGGUAUUGGUUACCAAUUAUAAUGGUUAGGUUCAUGUUCAUUACUCCUAACCCUUAGACAAUUAACUAAUUUAAGCGGUGAUCAAGUGUUUAAACUAAUUAAUUC
rnacentral:lncRNA from 1 species